rnacentral:lncRNA from 1 species
GCAACAAUGACCAAGCCCUAGGCCUGACUCAGUGCAUGCUGGGAUGUGUGUCCUGGUUCACCUGUUUUGCCUGCUCCCUGAGAACUCAGGCCCAGCAGGUUCUGUUUAACACGUGCAGAUGCAAGCUGCUGUGCCAGAAGCUCAUGGAGAAGACAGGCAUUCUGCUCCUCUGUGCUUUCGGAUUCUGGAUGUUUUCUAUUCACUUACCAUCGAAAAUGAAAGUCUGGCAGGUGCAGUGCCUGGCCUCUUUUUUGUUUCACUGAGCCCUGUCUCGUCCUGCAUGACCACCAUGCUCUGUGACUCCAGCUUUGGAAUAUAUUUGGUACGUACCAGCACCCCCUCUUUCUUCCUGUUUCAAAACCUCCUUGGCCAUUCUCAUCCACUUUCUUUUCCAGGCAAACUUGAGAAUCAGCUUGUCAACUUGCAUUUUUAAAAUGCUGCUGAAUUGGCACUGGUUUUAUGCAUGACGAACAAAUCUCUUGGCCAUGUCAGCUCUUCUCAAAACAUAGAUUCUUCUCCCAUUUCUUAUGGUUUUCCUUCAACGUCCUUCAGUCAGAUGGAGCCUCAAUCUGUCGCCCAGGCUGGAUGCAGUGGUGUGAUCUCUUCUCACUGCAACCUCUGCCUCCUGGGUUCCAGCAAUCCUCCCACCUCAGCCUCCCAAGUAGCUGGGAUUACAAGCAUGCACCAACACGCCUGGCUAAUUUUUGUAUUUUUUAGUGGAGACAGGGUUUCACCAUGUUAGCCAGGCUGGUCUGGAAUUCCUGACCUCAAGUGAUCUGCCUGCCUCAGCCUCCCAAAGUGCUGGGAUUACAGGCGUGAGCCACUGCUCCCAGCUGUUAAGGAGUGUUUCCAUAUUAAAUUAUAUUAUGGGGUAGAAGGCCAAAAUCAGGCUAAUCUACGUAAAAGAAUCAGAGCCUUCUGCUGCACUCUUUUGGGCUAUGUCUCCAGUGGACUCCCAGCUAGCUGCCUUCAGAGAGACUGAGAUCAGACCCACACUGACCACCCUUCUCAUCACCCUCCAAAUACCUCUCCCUCGCCCUCAUGAGCUGGGGGCCCUCAGCCAGUAUCUGAGGCACCGAGUCCAGGUUCUGCCUUCGGUGUCCACACCAGGCAAAGCUAGCUCAUUCCCCCUUUCCCGAGACCAGAGGUCGCUACAGGAUCUGGUGAUCACAAGAGCCCUGCCACAUGCAGGCUGCUGGGCUGCAGGACAUGAGCACUCCGGCACUGCCAGGGGGAAGCUGGGUAAGUGACACCUCAGCUCGACCACCUCCCAGCUAUGUGACCACUCACCAGUCCCUAUCCCUCGCAGGGCCUUGGUUCAUGCAGGAAGGACUAGACCAACGCCUCGCCUUCCAUUCAGGUGUGGAUGCCUGAGUGGCCUGCUGGGCACUGUGUGGGGUCCUGAAGCCGGUGGAGCUAGCUCAGAGGUCGGCCGUGGGGCUCAGGCAGGCAGGGCAGUGCUAUCGACCACAACCCCACCAGGAAGUCCAGGUCAGAGCUGACCAUCAGUGCUGGGCACCAGGAGGUCACACUGGAGCUUGGGAGCUCAUAGGCUGAGGUCUGACACCUGGGCUGGUGAGGGAGGAAGCAUCAGAGCAGAUCUCCCUCCACCAGCAACCCUUCAUCCUUCAGAGAGAAUGUGCCCGAAUCCCCAAGCCCUGGCCUCACUUACAGGAACGUUCCUCAUGGAAGGUGAGGACCCGGUGAGGGAGGCACAGCAGAGAGAAAGGGCAUCUCUGAGGCUCUCCCCAAGAGGGACUGCCUUGGAACAGCCUGGGACAGGAAUCCAGCACUCAGCCCUGGUCGCUUGCUGUGUGGCUGAGGGCAAGUCUCAACUUCUCUGAGCCUCCGUUUCCAUCAAUGUGACCAGACGCCAUGGGAGCAAGGAGGGAGUGAGCUCUGGCCCUGCUAGGUUUGGAGCCAGUCCCUGGAUCCACAGGGAAAGAGGGACAGAAAGAGAGGCAGCCUCCUGGGAACAACAGCAAUAAGAAAGGACUUCCUGAGCAACUGUGACUGUGGAGCCUGCCAGCUGCCUAACCUCUGCUCCCCAGGAAGUCUGGGUUGUGCCUGCAGCCAUUCUGCUCAUCUCUUCAUGUCCACAGAGACAGUGAGUUUGCAUCCAUCAACCACAAACAUGGCUCUGAGGAUGAGAUCCUGCAAGGGGGAUUGGGGGUGAGGCAAAGAGGAGCUCCCAGGUGUUUGGAGCUGAAAAGGCCAAAGGAAUCGUGACCAACUCAGCAUUCCACUGGCUAUAUGAUCAAACAGCAAACUGUUUAUCAUGAAUGCAGGAUGUGGGCAAACUCACGACUGCGCCUACUGCCAGAAGGUUUGCUGAGGGCCCUGGCACCGUGCUCAUUGAGGUUAUCUACUGGGACAUCUAGAACCUAUUGUUUGAAGAAUGCAGUCUUGCAAGCCUGCUGUAAAUUAAGCCCCUGAUCGACAACCACCCCCACUUCUCCCUAUCUCCUUUACCCAAUCAAAUGCGAAGGGCUGUAAAGCUAAGAGCCCUUGUUCACUAGAAGCAAGGAGCCCCCUGACCCCUUCUUCCAAAUACACUCUUUUGUCUUUAUCUUU